CGCGCGCCGACAGCGUGACGCCACUGCCGGCCGUCCGCUACCGGCCCUACCAGUCGCCCCUGGAGGGAUGGCAGCCGCUCGGGCAACUGAACCCGCACCAGGUGCUCUGCAAGUACGACCUGCUGGGCCGCUGCAACGCCCGCUCGUGCGCGUUCCAGCACGUGGGCGGCAAGCGGGCGGGCUCGCGGCCGCCGGCCGAGCCCCGCCACCACCACCAGCCGGCCGGGUCGGAGCUGCCGCGCUGCGCGCGCCCGCCGCCCGAACGCAGGUAAGCCGGCGCUCGUCCCGCUAGCAUAGUCGGCAGCUGUGUGUGUGACAUGAGUGGCGUGAGUGCGUGCUGGGCGCGGCCUGAAGGCGGACGGAUGUGGCGCGAGACUGCCAGUCGCCGUCGGUGUGCUCCCGUCGGCGCCAGACCGUCCGCAGCCUCCCCUGCCCGCCGCACUGGAGCCGCCCCUGCCCGCCGCGCUGGAGCCGCCCCUGCCUGCCUUCGGAGCGGUGCAACUGACUCGUGUCGGCCGGCACGUGUCAAGUGCGUCUCAGGGUGUUCUGCGCGGGUGCGUGCGUCGAGACACCGCGCGGGACGACUAUCUCGCGUAUAGGAUGUACAAAUGGGUGCUCUCCGUGUCAGCGGCGACUGGGACGGCCAGUUUCGGGACAGAAGAGGAUUCAAGAAGCAUCGCUCAACCAACGGGGAUGAGUGCCUGUUGCAGUUGCUCAUAUGUGUUCAGCAUGUAACGUUACUGGUACCGUGAGCUUAAUAUCUGAGCUUUUCAGAUAGAGAAAUAUACCGAUGUUAUUUCUUUGUUUUCUAAACUCUCGCGCUAGUUGGCAAGGAUCGAUCUCGCCGUCAUGUGAAUCGCAGGAGUGGAUGUGUGCAAUAUGGAUGCGGACUCCGUGUUCCAAGCACGGAGACUGAUGGAAUUUGUCGUCGCCGCACUGAUAACAAAAUUGUGGGGAAAUUUUGUGGAGCGCGCUGAUAAAUUCGUGCGUUGAUUUCCGCCAUGUGGGCCUCGUCCACAUCAGACGACGCGCUCACGGCGGCCCCGAUGAAUCGAAGACCCCUGGGCUCGGUUGUCACCGAUUGGUCAAAGAUCCGAGGCUGUUUCAGUCCGCGGUGAUGCUUGCGGUGUUUGAUGGGCUGUGACCAGAGGCCUUCCCCCAGCGCGUCUCACCUGUCGUGUGGACGCUGUACAAAUACGUCCGCGUACCGUGUCGCCUAGCUGUGCGCUGUUGCCUGCUGGUGGCCGCGGUCGCCGCUGUAAGUCAGCAGCCGUGUGGUCCGGCAUGGCCGUGACCAGGAGAUCGGAACAAAACAUGGGAAUACACCAG